rnacentral:rRNA from 1 species
UCCGUAGGUGGAUAAAUAAGUCAGAGGUGAAAUCCUGCAGCUCAACUGUAGAACUGCCUUUGAUACUGUUUAUCUUGAGUCAUUAUGAAGUGAUUAGAAUGUGUAGUGUAGCGGUGAAAUGCAUAGAUAUUACACAGAAUACCGAUUGCGAAGGCAGAUCACUAAUAAUGUACUGACACUGAGGGACGAAAGCGUGGGGAGCGAACAGGAUUAGAUACCCUGGUAGUCC